AUCCAAAAUCGUUUUUCCUUUUUUUUCUUCUUACCCCGUUUCGCGCGUCUACUUUUAUUUAUUAUACAAACAAUAAACAUACUCAUAAUAAAUUAACUAAGUUGGAACAUUACUCCCUUUUUAGGGUUCUCUCGGAUUUUUUUUUUUUUUUGGUGGGCGGGGGGAUUCGAAUUGAUUUGACGAUGUUUCAUCUUUAUUUGUGAUUUUUAGAAACUUACUAUUCCUUACAUAUAUACGACCAUUUUCUAGACGUAUUUGGUUCGAACUCGACUACCAAUAUCCAAAAUAGAAUUUGGAUUUGUUGCGGAUGUUAUGCAAUAUAUUUGGAAUGUCAUGAAACGAUUUCUUCAAUGCACUACUGUGUUCAGGAAUUUUUGAUCUAAGCCCAUCUUUAAACUCUUCCGAAUCGAUUGCUUUUGUCCAACAUUUAUCAAGAAGGUUCUUCAUAUUUUUACAGCUGCCUCGGCCAUUCCGUUACUUUGUAGAUUGUAAGGUCUUGAUGGAGACCAAACGAUGCAUUUUUUUUUGUAAAAUUCUUGGAAUAUAUGGGAUGAGAAAACUGCAACUUGAUCUGAUCUCAGAUUCUUCGGAUAUCCGAAAUUAUUAAACCCUUUUGAAAAUGUCUGAAUAAUUUUUUCUGUAUUUGUGUCACUUUUAUAUUCUUCAAUUACAGUGUAUCCUGAUAAUGCAUCCACAUAUACCCGCUAAGAUUUUUCGUUUAACAUAAACAAAUCUGUACUCAUGGAUUCAAAUAUUUGUUUUGGUAUGCUAUCAGGCUUUAAACUCUCUUUGCAUUGUGAAGGCCAGAAUAUUGACUCUCUCGAUCUUCUUUUGGUUUUCGUUAUUCCUUAAUGUGACAAAUGUAGUUUAGCAAGAAUAUCUUUUUUGGUACGCUUUAGGGACGACAAUUUGUGUUCUUUUCAAUACUAAACCGCCCUCAACAGUUAAUUCUUCGAUGAUGUUCUUAAAUAAUCCUACGAUCAUCUAUUGGAGCUCGUGACAAAGCAUCUGCAAUAAUAUGGUCUUUUCCUUUCUUCCAUGAUACUUUGGACUGGUAAUAUUGAAGGCACAUUCUAAUCUUCUGUACUUUGGCGUUUUCAAUUUCGUUUAAAGAAUAGUUAUUGAAUAUAGUGGAGAGAGAAUGACGAUCGGUUAUUACUUCGAAGUGCCGUAGUCCACUAAGUGAUAAAUCUCGAACCACAUUAAAUUAAUUUCCAUCUUUCUCCAUGCCGUUGUAUUAAAUUGAAUCCGAGACCUUUGGUUCUUGAUGCGUCUGUCUCUAAACGUGUUUCUCUCAACGGAUCAAAAAGUGCUAGGAUUGGUGGCUUAAGUAAAAUAUAUUUAAUAUUGUCCAUCGCAUGUGAGUGAAUUAACUCGCAUUUGAAUACAUUCUUUGUCUUCAACAAGUCUCUCAAUGGCCACUUUGCUCAAUUUUGAGGAGUGGGAAUUUUGCGAAUAGCAUUCAAUUUAUCUUCGUUGACGGCAAUUCCAUUCUUAUUGAUUUUUUAACCGACAAAAUCAAUUUCAUCUGUUGCGAAUUGAAAUUUCUCUAAACUUUAUGUGAUUCCUAAUUCCUUGCAUCUGUUUAGAACUCUUCUUACUCUCUUAAUAUGAUUCUCAAGAUCUUCGUCAUCAACAAGGAUAUCAUCGACUACUUUAUGAACAUUUGGGGUGCCUUCUAAUGCUAUGUCACACCGACUAUUAUACGCGUCUCCCAUAGAAAUAAAUCCCAUCGGAGCUCUCUUAUAGGACAUCUGCCAAUAAUCAUGCACUGCGUCAAAUUUUGUGAAAAGCUGGUACCUCGGAUUGAUUUUAGAAACGUCUUCCUUCGGAGUUUUCAUAGGAUGAACUAAUCUCUUAACCUGAACAAUAACUAUGGGGUGGCACCACUCUUGUUAUUUCAUCUUCUGCUUUCACGAUCACAUACUUUUUGUUCAUAUCAUCCAGCAUGUUUUUCACCUGUCCAUGAUAAAAAAAAGUUGUUGUGAGGAAUCAGGAUGGAGAAGGCUACGAUGGAUACAUGCAUUCUGAGGAUGAAAAAUUCGUUCUCUGGGAUAUUCCCUACAAUAUACAGUCUCCCUAUAGCUGCGACUUCCAAGUUUCAUAAUACACCAAUAAUAUGCAAUGAAGAUCCAUUCACUCCAACAAUCUUUGGAUCAAAAGUAGACCCUUUGGGAUAAUUUUUUUUUUUAAAUACUUUAGAUCCAGUAAUAGAAGCCAUUGCUCCACUAUCACACGUGACUACAACUAACUUCCUCUUCAUGAUUAUAAGCAUCCAUUAACUCAAUUGGUAUUUUAUUAGUUUUUAAUUUCUGAAUAGUAUUUAUUACCUUAACGGAGUUCUGCUUCGCUGAUUUAUACAUUCUUGCAAAAUGUCCCUUUCUUUUACGGCUCAGGCAUUCACUAUUCCCACUGGACAAGGUAUUUCAUUUCUAUGAGGAUAAUCAAAUCCACAUUUCCCACAAAGUACAUUCCCACUUCUCUCCAACGAUCUUCCUCGACUGAUACUCCUUCUUCGGAAACCCUUCCUGUCAACGGCUUUCCUAUUUGUAUUUAGUCCACUCAAGACUAAGUCGUUCAAGGUGCUCUGAUUUUUCUUCGCUGUCUCAACUGUUCUACAUAGGGUAUGUACAUAUGUCUUCCAGGAUUUCUUCGAGGGAUUUGCUUGUAUUUGCUAGAAUAUCCACAAUAUGUCGAAUAUUUGUUAUGAAUUCUGGUGAACAACAAGUCCAAAAUAUAGAAAUUUGUUCUUCUCUUAUUUUUUUACGCAUGUGGGUCAAACGAACGUAAUUAUUCUAAGUCUCUAACCACUUUAGGAAGUCAGAAUACCUGAUUCCAUCUCCAAUUUGAUUUGGUGGUUGUAUGUGAAUUUUAGAAGAAUUUUGUCAAGUGGAAUCGUUUGUUUUUCCAGUUCGUAUUCCGGAGAAGAUUCCUCAAGAAGCACACACAAUUCCUCUGCUUUCUCCUUAAAUUUAUCGGAAGCUUUCCUUAUUAUUUCCAAUGUCCUCUUAAUUUUAAAAGUAUUCGGGACAUCCUCCUCCAUGAGCUUCUCGAUGUCCUUUAUUUGUGCUUCAAACGAUCUUAUUUGCGCACUUCUAGAUCUUUGAAGAUCGAUUAAUGGAGAUGUUUGAUCUGUUUUGGUCAUCUUUGGAAUAAGGAGACGAGUCUAUCUUCACCUAGGAGUUCUUCCGUACCUCUGGUCUCACGUUUCCUAGGACUUUACUUUUUUUUCUUUUUAUUAAAAUCUUCGGAGUUCAAUUAGGACGGCCAACUGUGCCAUGAGUUAUCCGAUCCUAUCUCGGAUAUAUUAUUAGAAUAAGCACGGAAUAAAUACGAGACUUCUACCAAGGCUUUCCCAGAAGAAGGAGACCCACCAAAGAAAACAUACACACAAAAAAAAUGCUUUGUUGCUGUGAAAGUUCGCAAAAACCCUCAAAGGAAAAUUCUUCAAGAUGUUUUUUGUGCUCGAGCGAGAGUGAACACGGCAAAAAUCUUAUACACAGCUUUCUCUCUUUUAA
rnacentral:lncRNA from 1 species